GGGCCCGCACAAGCGGUGGAGCAUGUGGAUUAAUUCGAUGAUACGCGAGGAACCUUACCAGGGCUUAAAUGAUAAUUGACCGUCGCCGAAAGGUGUCUUUCUUUUAGACAAGUAUCAAGGUGCUGCAUGGCUGUCGUCAGCUCGUGCCGUGAGGUGUUGGGUUAAGUCCCCGCAACGAGCGCAACCCCUAUCUCUAGUUGCCAGCACAUAAUGGUGGGGACUCUAGAGACACUGCCUACGUAAGUAGUGAGGAAGGUGGGGACGACGUCAAGUCAUCAUGGCCCUUACGUCCUGGGCUUCACACGUGCUACAAUGGAUGGUACAAAGAGCAGCCACUCAGCGAUGAGGAGCAAAA
rnacentral:rRNA from 1 species